GUGGUAGAGUGAUACUGACUACCAGCACCUAAGCCAAGCCAGCAGCUGCUCCUAUGGUGUGAGGUAAGAGUCUGAUGAGAUUUCACUAGCAUUUCUCUCUUACUGGGGACCACCUUUGGCUGGAAUCUCCAUUCAUUUCAGUUGCCAGUGGAUCAAUAUUCAGAGAUGAACUUUAUUGUCCCAGAGGACCCUUGGAAAAGGACUGGGAAGGGGCUAUUGCCCUCUCCUAUUGACUCAUCUGCCCAGGUUUGGACCCUAACCAUGUUGACUGAUCACCAGGGAAGGCCUGGGCAUAUCAGCCCCUCAAAGAGGAGAAAUAUCCCUGAGGAGUUGGAGUGACAUGGGGUUGGGGGGUGGGGUUGUCUAUGCGUGUUUAAAGCCUUAGGGAAGAGUAUGAAGCAACUGGACAAGGGAAAGUUCAGGUUCAGGUUCAGAGCAGAAACCCAUCCCUAAAACUGCAAAUUUACUCCCCCCCGCACCCCAGUGCCUCCUAAUAAAUUCUGAAGUGCCAAAUAAACGUCUUUCCUGACUUUAAGUCCCUGAUGGAUCAGAGGCCCUAGGAUCAAGAGACCAAGAGUCAGAGCCCUAGCUUCUCUUAUUCUAAAUAUUUAUGAUCCCCAAGGCAAGAUUUUGAGAGUAAGAUUCAAAUAUUCUAUUAUCUUAAACCAUUCUCCGAUUAUAAGAUAUUAAAAUUCUAAGAUUUGAGAUCUAUGGUUUAAAAAGUGAAGUUUUACAACUUAGACAAGAUGAUCACAAGGGCAAAGAAGUAAAAAUCUAAAAUUCUGUGAGUUUAGAGAGCUUAGAUUCGUAGAGUCUAAAAUACUAAAACCUUCAGAAUCUAAGUUUUUCAAUGGCUCCAAAUUCUUAAAAGUUGAAGUCUAACAGUAAAAAAUGAGAUCUACAGUUUUAUGACUUUAUACCUAAUCACUGGUGGCACUUGAACAAAUAAAUCCAUUUUCCAGCCCAUCUACCAAGAAGUGAUUUACACCUUCCAAGAUAGUGCUCAGAAGCGAACCUAAGUGAAGGUCAUGCUGUUCAUUCCCAGCAAGCCAGUUCCUCAUAAGGCCUGACCAUUUAUGAUGGCAGACCUCUUCUCCACCUUCCUACCUUCUCUGAAGUGCUGGAGUGGACCCGUGUUGCUUUUCUGUGUGCCUAGGAUCUCUUCUUUUUAGGAAAAUCCCUGCCCCACUCAUGUGUCUGUAGUGAGGCUAUUGACCACACAGGUGGGCACGUGACUCAGUAUGAUGAGAAAAUCACCACAUCCUGAACACAGUGAAUCUUCUACAAAUGAGCCCAGGGACUUGUCAAGAAUGAUGUAUAUAAUGGGAAAGACAAUGUUGAGGACUUCCGUCACCUGGGAUGAUGAGCUAUAAAGACAGUAUCAGCGCUGUGAGUCAAGAUUUGUUACUGGCCAACUCAGGUGGAAAGAGCCAGGGCUGACUCACCUUCAGGCACAGUAGGUACAGUGCCUAGAGUACACCAUAUUUUUAGGACUCAGAUCAGCAAUUUCAGAAGUCAAACCAUUUCCUUAGAAUUCCCAGGUAAGUGAACAAGUAAAUUCCUUACACAACUUGGAAACAGACAUACCAUUUAUGUUGGCUUCCCAGAACCUUGCUAGGUUUGAGGAGCCUUUCCUUGUUUCCCAGUCUCCCUUGCAAGUAGAGCCCCGGCAUGUGGCCUAGCUUCUCCGGUCCCAAAGAGAUUCUGUAAGCCACUGAUAUCCUUUAGGAAAAUAAUUUGAUAAUUAAGCCAGACAGAGUGGUUUUCUGUUAUUUGCAGGUAAGACUCUGACAGGUACAGCUAGUUAGAGCUAGGCUUGUCUCUCUGGCAAUCAAGUGUUUUUGAUAAAACACAGAGGAGCCCUCUUCUGCAUCUGUACCUUCCUCCAGGUCCAGAACAAGUCUAUGCUCUUUUAGUAGCAACAGCUCAGCUCUUUUAUCCCUGGAGAGAAAGGACAGGUCAGGCUGAGCACUUAUUCAGGGCAGGAGUACAGAGACCAGGAUAACCACAGAGCAUAGCAUGAAAGGUCAGUGUGAUUCCAAGACUCCCCAGUGCCUUUGUCUUUUCUCUCCUGACUCUAGCACCUUUUUUAUCUGGAACCUUUCCUCUGAUAUCAUCUUUAGAAGGUAGGGUGCAAAGAAAAUUAUUUUGUUUGCUCCAUUCUCCUCCCACAAGCAUCACAGUCAUUCUCCUGUAAGAAGAUGUAAGAGAAGUACCUUCAGGACUGCCUGAAUUGAUGGACUUGGGGAAAAAAUCAGGACCUGCUGUAAGGACAAGCUGCUGAUGGAGAAGAAGAAAAUCCCAGGAAAAGGAAAUGCAGCCCAACAGGAAUCCAGAAGGACAAGGGAAGGGCCUCAAGAGAUCCAAACUUACAAUUUAGUCUAAGUACCUAUAUCUACCCCAUGGUCACACAGCCAGCACCAUCAUCUCAUUCACAGCCACCAUCUUAGCCAUUGUCCCCAAAGCAUCUUGCACACCUUCAACCUGAUCUCAGCAUCCUGAAGAUACUAACAGUCUCCUUUUCUCUUCCACUGGUGGUCUUGUAUCCCUGCUACAGUACAGCUCUGACGCUAUAUGUCUCUAUCAACUCCCUUCUUUGAUUAGGGGCCUUACUUCCUCUUAGACUACUUGCUUCUCUCAGAUUUGCUUUUUCUUCUAACUAUGCCUGUGUCCUCUUGUCAUCCCUCAAGUCCUGGAAAUGGAGACCAAGUAUGAUUCAUCUGCAUCCUUAGAGCUCAGUACAAAGUCUGACAGAACAAGGGCUAAAUCUUGUGACUAAGUUGCAUCCUAGACAGUAGGUUAUCAGUAGAUGCCGAUUGAUUGGUUUUCAACUCUGUCAUUUAAUAAAGAUGUUUCUUGGAUUAGUUUACUGAUGUCUUCCAGGUUAAAAGAAAGAGAAAGACCAUGCUUCCUCCCAAUAUCUAAAUGGAGGGCAGAUAAUAAGUAUGGAACAGCAAGGUUUAUCAUAAGGCAAGUUGAUGUCCUUGAGGUACAGAUCCCAGUGAAUGCAAUGGAAAGAACUUUCAAAGAUAAAUAGUAAUAAUAAAUAAAUAAAUGUAAUAAAGAACUAACUGUGCAGUGUUGAAGGGGAGAGCAUACUUCAAGAAAAAUUGGUGCAGGAAAAUCAAUACCUAUGUAUACCUUGGUUAAGUUAUCAAACUCCAAGGAUAAAAAAAAAUUCAAGCAUUUAAGAAGAAAAAUUCUUCUCAGCAUUAUUCAAUGUCACAACAUGAUGGGACAAUGUCUCUGAAGUCAUUUAAGAUGAAACACAACAGGCAAUUGUUCUCAGACAUGAAGGAGCUCAGGCAGUAGAGCACCUGUGAGCUCUUCAUUAAAAACUUAUCACAGCCGGGUGCAAUGGUGCACACCUGUAAUCCCAGUGGCUAUGUAGGUUGAGACAGGAGGAUCCAGAGUUCAAAGCCAUCCUCAGCAACAGUGAGGCACUAAGCAACGCAUUGAGACCCUGUCUCUAAAUAAAAUACAAAAUAGGGCUGGGGAUGUGACUCCAUGGUUGAGUGACCCUGAGUUCAAUCCCCGGUACUCCACCCCACACACACACACACACACACAAAAAAAAAAAAACGACUACAGUGUUGAAGAGAUAGCAUGAAUGAGGCUAUGGGUUCAACCCCUAGUGCUGCAAACAAACCAAAACAAAACAAAAGCUCUGCUAUGUAGCCC
rnacentral:lncRNA from 1 species